rnacentral:rRNA from 1 species
AAUAUUGCGCAAUGGAGGGAACUCUGACGCAGCGACGCCGCGUGAGCGAUGAAGGUCUUCGGAUCGUAAAGCUCUGUCCUUGGGGAAGAAGGUCUUCGGACUUGACGGUACCUAAGGAGGAAGCCCCGGCUAACUACGUGCCAGCAGCCGCGGUAAUACGUAGGGGGCAAGCGUUGUCCGGAAUGAUUGGGCGUAAAGGGUGCGUAGGCGGCCCUUUAAGUCGGAUGUGAAAGCCCGCGGCUUAACCGCGGAAUGGCAUUCGAAACUGGAGGGCUUGAGUGUCGGAGAGGGUAGUGGAAUUCCCAGUGUAGCGGUGGAAUGCGUAGAUAUUGGGAGGAACACCAGUGGCGAAGGCGACUGCCUGGACGAUAACUGACGCUGAGGCACGAAAGCGUGGGGAGCAAACA